GGGAGCUAGGUGGACCUUAAAAUUGUGGCCUAAAUAAGGCCUCACUAGAAUGUAUUGACAUCACUUACCAUAAUAAUUACAUUUACUGCCAACUAAUUAUGUGUGUAUUUAUGUAUAUUUCAUAGGAAACAUACUUUGGGUCAGAUAGAUUUUUCUUUUUCUUGUUUUAAAAAAAAUUUAUUAUAUUUAUUGGAUAGAGACAGCCAGAAAUUUAGAGGAGGAGGGGAGUUAGACAGGGAGAGAGACAGAGAGACACCUGCACCACUGCUUUACCACUCACAAAGCUUUCCCCCUGCAGGUGGGGGAUGGGGGUUCGAACCCAGGUCCUUGUGCACUGUAAUAUGUGUGCUCAACCCGGUGCGCCACCACCUGGCCCCUAGACUUUUCUUUUCUAUGCUUAUGUGCUUGCAUUAAGAAAAUUAGUCAAGGGGGGCAGGGUGGUGGUGCACCUGGUUGAGCACACAAGUUACAAUAUACAAGGACCUUGGUUCAAGCCCCCAGGCCCCACCUGCAGGAGGAAGGCUUUUCGAGUGGUGAAACAGGUCUGCAGGUGUCUCUCUGUCUCUUUCUGCCUCUAUCUCCUCCUUCCCUCUUGAUUUCUGACUGUCUCUAUCCAGUAAAUAAAAUAAAGAUAAUAAAAAAUGUAAAAAAAAAGAGAAAAUUAUUCAAAGUUGACCAGUGGCAUACCCAGUAGAGCACACACACUACAUUCAUGAGGACAUGGGUUCAAGCUCCUGGUCCAUAGUUCCAUGGUAGAAGUUUUAUGAGCAGUGGUGCAGUAAAGCAGGUAUGUCUCUUUCUCUCUUUCCCUCCCUAUUUCUCUCUGUCUCUAUAAGAAAAACAAAACAAAGCAAAACAGGACACUGGUAAUAGCAGACACUGAGCCCUAACAAUAAAUCUGGUGGCAAAAAAAAAAAA